UGGGGAAUAUUGCACAAUGGGCGAAAGCCUGAUGCAGCAACGCCGCGUGGAGGAUGAAGGCCUUCGGGUUGUAAACUCUUGUCUUCUGGGACGAUAAUGACGGUACCAGAGGAGGAAGCCACGGCUAACUACGUGCCAGCAGCCGCGGUAAUACGUAGGUGGCAAGCGUUGUCCGGAUUUACUGGGCGUAAAGGAUGCGUAGGCGGAUAUUUAAGUGGGAUGUGAAAUACCCGGGCUCAACCUGGGUGCUGCAUUCCAAACUGGAUAUCUGGAGUGCGGGAGAGGAAAGUGGAAUUCCUAGUGUAGCGGUGAAAUGCGUAGAGAUUAGGAAGAACACCCGUGACGAAGGCGACCUUCUGGACCGUAACUGACGCUGAGGCAUGAAAGCGUGGGGAGCAAACA
rnacentral:rRNA from 1 species